GCCCGGCUAGCUCAAUCGGUAGAGCGCAAGACUCUUAAUCUUGAGGUUGUGGGUUCGACCCCCACGUUGGGCG